rnacentral:tRNA from 1 species
GCUCCCUUAGCACAGUUGGCUAGUGCGUCGCACUUGUAAUGCGAAGGUCAUCCGUUCGAAUCGGAUAGGGAGCUCCA